rnacentral:rRNA from 1 species
AGCGAACGCUGGCGGCAUGCCUAACACAUGCAAGUCGAACGAACCCUUCGGGGUUAGUGGCGCACGGGUGCGUAACGCGUGGGGAUCUGCCCUUUGCUUCGGAAUAACAGUUAGAAAUGACUGCUAAUACCGGAUGAUGUCGUAAGACCAAAGAUUUAUCGGCAAAGGAUGAACCCGCGUAGGAUUAGCUAGUUGGUAGGGUAAAGGCCUACCAAGGCGACGAUCCUUAGCUGGUCUGAGAGAAUGAUCAGCCACACUGGGACUGAGACACGGCCCAGACUCCUACGGGAGGCAGCAGUGGGGAAUAUUGGACAAUGGGCGAAAGCCUGAUCCAGCAAUGCCGCGUGAGUGAUGAAGGCC